UCCGGUGGUGCAUGACUGUAGUCCCAGCUACUCGGGAGGCUGAAACAGGAGGAUCGCUUGAGUCCAAGAGUUCUGGGCUGUAGUGCGCUAUGCCGAUCAGGUGUCCGCACUAAGUUCAGCAUCAAUAUGGUGACCUCCCGGGAACGGGGAGCCACCAGUUUGCCUAAGGAGGGGUGAACCGGCCCAGGUCGAAAACGGAGCAGGUGCAAACUCCCAUGCUGAUCAGUAGUGAACUUGCCUCUCUUACAACUGCCUUCGUUGCAUUCCAUGAGUUUGUGUAUGUUGUGUAUUCAUUUUCAU
ensembl:misc_RNA Metazoa_SRP Metazoan signal recognition particle RNA